UGUGUUUAUGUGGAUGUGCUGGAGUGGAAUGAAGGGAGGAUAACUUCAAAUGACAGUUGCCACAGCUGAAGAGAUGCUUUCACUCAUGAAACAAAUAAGCAAGCAGGAUGCCAUCCAUGAAGAUGAUGCUUCUGACUCACUGUAAAAAUAAAAAAAUACGUAUACUA